rnacentral:tRNA from 1 species
GCUAGAUUGGCUCAGUCUGUUAAGCAUCUGCCUUCAGAUCAGGAUAUGAUCCCACAGUUCUGGGAUCGAGUCCCAUAUCUGGCU